ACAAGGAGGGGAGGUGCUGAUAAACUGGGUCUGGUGGGUAAGAGAGGACAAGGAGGGGAGGUGCUGAUAAACUGGGUCUGGUGGGUAAGAGAGGACAAGGAGGGCAGGUGCUGAUAAACUGGGUCUGGUGGGUAAGAGAGGACAAGGAGGGCAGGUGCUGAUAAACUGGGUCUGGUGGGUAAGAGAGGACAAGGAGGGCAGGUGCUGAUAAACUGGGUCUGGUGGGUAAGAGAGGACAAGGAGGGCAGGUGCUGAUAAACUGGGUCUGGUGGGUAAGAGAGGACAAGGAGGGCAGGUGCUGAUAAACUGGGUCUGGUGGG